ACCCAACUGACGAGUCUCAAAUAGGACGAAAUGAUCAUCCUGAAU
rnacentral:hammerhead_ribozyme from 1 species